AUUGAACGCUGGCGGCAUGCCUUACACAUGCAAGUCGAACGGCAGCACGGGAGCAAUCCUGGUGGCGAGUGGCGAACGGGUGAGUAAAGCAUCGGAACGUGCCCAGUCGUGGGGGAUAACGUAGCGAAAGCUACGCUAAUACCGCAUACGAUCUGUGGAUGAAAGCGGGGGACCGUAAGGACUCGCGCGAUGGGAGCGGCCGAUGUCAGAUUAGGUAGUUGGCGAGGUAAAGGCUCACCAAGCCGACGAUCUGUAGCUGGUCUGAGAGGACGACCAGCCACACUGGGACUGAGACACGGCCCAGACUCCUACGGGAGGCAGCAGUGGGGAAUUUUGGACAAUGGGCGCAAGCCUGAUCCAGCAAUGCCGCGUGCAGGAUGAAGGCCUUCGGGUUGUAAACUGCUUUUGUACGGAGCGAAACGGCUUCCACUAAUACUGGGGGCUAAUGACGGUACCGUAAGAAUAAGCACCGGCUAACUACGUGCCAGCCGCCGCGGUAACAC
rnacentral:rRNA from 1 species